rnacentral:tRNA from 1 species
GCUGGCGUGGCUCAGUGGUUGAGCGUCGGCCUUUGAACCCGAAGGUCUUGGUUCAAUUCCCAUUCAGGGCA